rnacentral:tRNA from 1 species
UUAAGAUGGCAGAGCCGGUAAUUGCAUAAAGCUUAAGCCUUUACUCCCAGAGGUUCAAACCCUCUUCUUAAUA